AUCAUGGCUCAGAUUGAACGCUGGCGGCAUGCCUUACACAUGCAAGUCGAACGGCAGCGGGGCCUUCGGGGUGCCGGGCGAGUGGCGAACGGGUGAGUAAUGCAUCGGAACGUGCCAUUGAGUGGGGGAUAACGUAGCGAAAGUUACGCUAAUACCGCAUAUUCUGUGAGCAGGAAAGCAGGGGACCGCAAGGCCUUGCGCUCUUUGAGCGGCCGAUGUCAGAUUAGCUAGUUGGUGAGGUAAGGGCUUACCAAGGCGACGAUCUGUAGCGGGUCUGAGAGGAUGAUCCGCCACACUGGAACUGAGACACGGUCCAGACUCCUACGGGAGGCAGCAGUGGGGAAUUUUGGACAAUGGGCGCAAGCCUGAUCCAGCCAUGCCGCGUGAGUGAAGAAGGCCUUCGGGUUGUAAAGCUCUUUCGGCCGGGAAGAAAUCGCAUGGGUUAAUACCCUGUGUGGAUGACGGUACCGGAAUAAGAAGCACCGGCUAACUACGUG
rnacentral:rRNA from 1 species